rnacentral:lncRNA from 1 species
AAGGACAAUAGCAGGGCCAGCAUGAAGUCUAGCUUCUUGACCAGUAAUGUUAAAAAUACCUGAACCAACUACUGAACCAAAACUAAGCCACAGUAGGUCCCACCAAGUGAGGCAUUGUUUCAUUUCAUUUUCUGACUGUUUUUUUAACUCAACUAAUUCUGUGGUCUCUGUUGAACGGCAAAAAAGGCGGUUCCAUCACUAUUAAUAAUACUAGCAAAAUAAGAUGCCCAAGAUCUUCCUAAUCCAGCAGCCCCCACAAUAGCCUCUAAUAAAAUAUUCCCAGCAGCUAUAUAUGCAACAAAAUCACCCAACUCAACUCUCAAGAAUGAAAAAGAACCACCAGCUAUUGGAAUAUCAACAGCAAAUUCAGUGUAACAGAAAACAGAAAGCAAAGCAGAAAGACCAGAAAUAGCAUAUGAAAGGACAAUAGCAGGGCCAGCAUGAAGUCUAGCUUCUUGACCAGUAAUGUUAAAAAUACCUGAACCAACUACUGAACCAAAACUAAGCCACAGUAGGUCCCACCAAGUGAGGCAUUGUUUCAUUUCAUUUUCUGACUGUUUUUUUAACUCAACUAAUUCUGUGGUCUCUGUUGAACGGCAAAAAAGGCGGUUCUUGAGACGAUAUGGGGUUUGAGAAAGGGCAGUUUUGUAAGUUGAGAAAUUUUGGAAAGUUGGUUCUGGGAAAAAAUCUUGUUUGCUGAAACGCCAAUACCUUUUUUGGGGUUGUUGGGUUUUUGGUGAAUAAUCCAUUGUUGUUGUUGUUGUUGAGGUUGAUUGGGUUAGAGUGGUUUUGUUGGGGGGAUUAAGAAUUAGAGGAGUUGUGAUAUCUUGAGGAUAUUCUGAAAUUGGCAUGUUUUGUGAAUCAGAGAAGGAAAUUUUGUGGAAUCCCAAGAUUUCAGGGGUAAUCCAAUCAUUU